rnacentral:rRNA from 1 species
AUUGAACGCUGGCGGCAUGCUUUACACAUGCAAGUCGAACGGUAACAGGCCGCAAGGUGCUGACGAGUGGCGAACGGGUGAGUAAUGCAUCGGAACGUGCCCAGUCGUGGGGGAUAACUACUCGAAAGAGUAGCUAAUACCGCAUACGAUCUAUGGAUGAAAGCGGGGGACCGUAAGGCCUCGCGCGAUUGGAGCGGCCGAUGCCAGAUUAGGUAGUUGGUGGGGUAAAGGCUCACCAAGCCAACGAUCUGUAGCUGGUCUGAGAGGACGACCAGCCACACUGGGACUGAGACACGGCCCAGACUCCUACGGGAGGCAGCAGUGGGGAAUUUUGGACAAUGGGCGCAAGCCUGAUCCAGCAAUGCCGCGUGCAGGAAGAAGGCCUUCGGGUUGUAAACUGCUUUUGUACGGAACGAAACGGCUCUGGUUAAUACCCGGGGCUAAUGACGGUACCGUAAGAAUAAGCACCGGCUAACUACGUG